AUGACCAGAUUUCCGAUGUCCCCACCUUCCACAUACCCUGGCACUGGCGUUGUCCAGCUGUGGUCAGUUCAUCUAAAGGGAGGGUUUUCAAUGCUCACGUUUCCUCCUGUUGCGGGCUCCAGCUUUACCUGCCUCUUAUUGUUCUCAUUCGCCUGGGGAAUGCCGAGUGUAACAAUGGCCCCAGGAAUUCAAGCCAAGGAGCCCAAGAGGGGCCAGAUGGUGCCUUCGUUCCUGGUGCCAGAACUGCGGCGUUUCUCUGAAUAAUCUAAAACUUUCCUGGAAAUGGAGAGUCCUGACAUGAUGGCCCCAUGAUGAAAAUAACCCAGAUUCCUGAGUCACCAUGUGGACACGAGGCACCAAGGAGAAAACGUGUGAACCUCAGUAAGUUUGGGGUGAGAGGUAAAUAAACUUUAAAUAUGUUAAGCUUCUGUCAUUUCAAGGUAAUAUAGUGUGGAAGGCAGAAAAAUGGCCCACUCUCUCCUGGCAUCUAUUAAAGAUGUCCAAAUCCUCAUUUCUGGAACAGGUGAAUAUGUUAAGUUACAUGGCAGUAGCAGUCACAUAGCAGAUCGAAUUAAGGUUUGUAUUAGUCUGUUCUUACACGGCUAUAAAGAAAUACCUGAGCCUGAGUAAUUUAUAAAGAAAAGAGAAUUAGUUGGCUCAUGGUUUUGCAGGCUGUACAGGAAGCAUAGUGGCUUCUGUUUCUAGGGAGGCCUCAGGAAGCUUCCAAUUAUGGUGAAAGGCAAAGGAGUGAAGUACUUCACAUGACUGGAGCAGGAGGAAAAGAGAGAGAGAGAAAAGUGGGGGAGGUGCUACACACUUUUAAACAACCAGAUCUUGUAAGAACUCACUCACCAUCAAGAGAACAGCAUCAAGGGGAUGGAGCUAAACCAUUUAUGAAGGAUCCAUCCCCAUGAUCCAGUCACCUCCCAUCAGGCCCCACCUCUAGCUAUAGGGAUUAUAGUUGAUUACAGUUGAAUGUGUGAUUUGUGCAGAGACACAGGUCCAAACCAUAUCAAGGUUGCAAAUCAGAAGUCUCCAAAAAUUAAAAGUCUCCUGGAUUACCCUGCUGGUCCUCAUCACUGGAGUCCUUAAAAGCAGAGAACCUUUCCCAUUUGUGGUCAGAGAGAGAUGUGAUAAAGAAAGCAGCAUCAGACACAUGUGACGUUGUUGGCUUUGAUGAGGGUAGGAAGGGGCCAUGAGCCAGGGAAUGUGGGCAGCCUUGAGAAACUGACCUCAUUUAACUAAAUUACUUCUUUAAAGGGCCUACCUUCAAACAUGGCCACAUUCUGAGAGGGGGUUAGGACUUCAACAUAUGAAUUUUGGUGUGACACAAAUCAGUCCAUCCGUAGACUUUUAGAUUGUGGCAAUUAUGAAAAUGCAAAUCAUGUUUUUGUGCCAUGAGUUUGAGGUAUAUUCCAGAAUUACUUCUGUCAUCAACUCACCUCAAAAGCACAGCAUAGGCAGAGCAGAACGUUGAGCUCCUGGAGAACUCUCAGGAGGCAGGCAUUUGGGGCCAGUGCAAUAGAAAAGCAAGGCUGGGGAAAGACCAAUUUGAAAUACUUCCUUGCAAUCUGCUUUGGUAUAAUCCAUUAACCCAGGUGAGUAGUGGAGCCCAGGCUUGCUUUCUACUCAGCUUUUCCUCCUCUACGCAUUCCUUAUAGCCUCUUCCUAUAUUGGUCAACAGAAAUGUCCAUCAUAGCCCCAAUACAUUACUAGAACAUGUUAUUUUGGAAAAUACAAACUAUGGAAAACCCCAUAGGCGUUUGUAAUUUUGUAAAGUUAUAGGUUCAGGGAAAAACCAGCCAAAAACCCUGAUCAUUUUAUUAUGAUAAUAAAUCAAAUUUUGUAUAAAAGUAUCUAUGGCAUGUGGCCAGGCCUCCAUUUUUGCUCUGUGUCUCUGGAGACCAUGCCAUCAUGUAGAUUCUUGCAGGAGGCAGGGUCAGUCUUAAAUGCUUUGGGGGUUAUACGCUUGUUUGAGAGAAAUUACAAACCAGACUAAGAAUAUAAAAUAUAUGUAAAACCACAACAUCUACAAACUUUUAUAAUCAUACAAGUAAUAAACUUACAUUUGAGGUCAUAAAAUAGGUAUAAACGUACUAAGUACAUGGAUUAUAAAAUAGGCACUAAUGUAUUAUAGAAUAAAAUAUUCCUGAAUUAUAGGCACUAAUGUAUGAUAGCAUAAAACAUACCUGGAUUAUGUUAAAAAUGCAACUUUACUAUAUCAUAAAUUUGAUUCAUAUCUAGCAUGUAGACAAACACAUGAUCAACAUUAAAUUUGUUUGACUUUUAAUUCCAAGGUGCGGUUGAGGUGUGCUUUCAAUAGCCUGUUUCUUGAAAUCUUUUAUAACACUGUUCAAGGAAGGUAGGACUGUCAUUUUUUUUUUUUUUUUUUUUUUUUUGUAGAGGUAUCUUUUGUAGUCAAUCAAGGAGAUCUCACAGUUGGAUUCAUUCUUUUCAUUUCAGUGUCUUUACACAUUUAAAGACAGACCCUGUCUAAAUUACAUGGAGUUUAGAUUUGCUGUCUGCUGAGUUUAUUCCUCCUUUGUCUUUGUUGCCUCCAUCUCCAACUUCCCACACCAACUGUCAUCCAAAUAUCAUUGUUUGACUGCCCCAAACCACACCUACUUUCUAGUUUCAGAGCCUCCUCCAUUGGUGUGAGUCUUGUAGGGUUGGGGAGAGCGGGGGCAAAGCAGGGGAGGGAGGCAGGGUUGUCCUUACAGUACAGAGCCUGAAACUGAGAGAGUCUCCCCGUCCCUGGCCCUUGACAGCCAGAAUGAGGGACAGGACCUUCCAGCCUGGACUUUACAUGCCCAGGGAGUGAUACAAAGAUGCAGGAACAGCUGAGAGAAGAUGCCCUCUGGUGUUCAGAGUCCAUGUCGGUCUUGGCCUUGAGUUUCCAAUGGAAGCAGAGCCAGCGGCUCUGUCCUGAAGCCGUUCUUCCUGCUGUCCAGCCUUGUUCCUGACCAUUUUCCAAGCUUACUUCUUUAGUCAUCCUGUGGAUUCUGCAUGCUGUUUGGCAGCCUUCCAGCAAGUUCCCUUUUGCUGAAGUUUCUGAGGCUUGCAGCUAUCCGAUGUGCAGGGAGUAUCAGAGAAUGAAGAAGGUGUGGACAUGGCAUACGUUUGCCAGGGGAGUGGAGCAGAAUGAUGCUGUGAUGCUGAACUGUCAUUCUCAGGUUUUUGCAUAUUACACAUUGCUGACGUUUUUACCAAAAUGGUAACUUUGGACAUUUUUAAGGGAGCAUCCUCAUGUUGCGUUCCAUCAGACCUGCGGUCCAGAGGUUCUCGGUGAUGAGCUCUUUCAUUUUUCC
ensembl:lncRNA